UUCAGUAAGAAUUUAAUUUUGGUUCUGAUUGAACGUUCUUCAGUAGUUUUAAGACAUGCAAAUCGUUGUUACUAACCAUUUUAUAGAUUAUAUUAGAUACAGUCUUAAUAUAAAAAUUAUUAUAAAAUAAAUAAUAACAAGGUGUAAAGGUGAGUAUUGUAAAUUAGAUACCCUAUAGACUCCUUAAUUCGGAGAUAAUUUUAUUUCUCUAUUUAAUUAUUAGAUAAACCUCAAAUAAAAAAGGCAAAUCACUAAAAUGAUAAUUGAUUAAGAGAUAUUUUUUUUGAAAGAUAGUAAUAAAAAGAUUAUUAAUCUUUAAAAAAUUAAGAUUAAGUUAGCUAAUCUUUCUCAAAUAACACUAAAAAUUUAUAUUUAUUAAUUUAAAUUUGAUAGAUUAUUUAGAAUUAUAUCUUUCAAUAAAGAGAAAGUAAGAGAUAAAUUAGCUAUUUAUUCAAAAAGGAAAAUUUCUGCUAUAGGAUUCGAUUUAUUUUGUUUAAUGGUAGUUGGUACGGGUAAAAGCCUACCAAGCCUACGAUCAAAAGCCAUGUUUGAUAGAGCAGAUGGCCACAUUGGGAAUGGAAAGCCCCAAGUAGUGUAAACUACCAGCAGUCAAGAAUAUUAGUCAAUGCUCGCAAGAGUGAACUAGCUAACUGAAAUCAUAUGACUCAUUAAUUGAUGGUGAUUAUGAUAACAUAAGGGAAAAAAAUGAUAUUACCUUAUUAUUAGUGUUGUCCAAAACUGGUGCCAGAAGACUCGGUAAGACCAGAGACGCAAACGUUAGUCAUCUUAAUCAGGCGUAAAGGGUUUGUAGGCUGCUUUAAAAGUUUAAAUUAUUUAAAAAGCUCUUUUACCGUAAUAUUACCUUUAAUUAUAAUUGAAAAUAAAAUAAAAAAAAACAUAAUAAAAAUAAAAUAGAUAAUAUAAUAUAAAAAGGUAAUAUAUAAAAUUUAUUAUAUAAUAAAAAUAAAAAAUAAAAAUAAAUAAAUGAUAUUAUUAAAAAUAUAAAAUAUCCGUGUAUCAGUAAAGAAAUAAAUGAAUUAAAGCUAGGAUCAAAUUGAGGAUAAACCAAAUAAUACUUAGAGUAGGGCUUAUAUCCGCAGAUACUAAGGGGAAUACUAAAGGUGAAAACUUUUUAUCUACUAUUGAUUGACGCUGAGAAACGAAGGUGAGAACAGGAAAUAGGAUUAGAUACCCAGAUACCUCUCACUGUCAACGAUGAAUGGUGGUUUGUUAGUUUUAAUAAAAACUGGUAACGAUGUUAACACGAUAACCAUUCCGCCUUGCGAGUACGGUUGCAAAACUGAAACCAAAAAAAUUAGUCGGUCUCGAAGCAAACGAAGUGAAGCAUGUUAUUUAAUACGAGAAUACGCGUAAAACCUUACCAGUUCUUGCAUAUCCAAUUAUGUUCUUAGUUCAUUCUAAGUUCUUUUUAAUAAGAAAAACAGAUUGAGUAAUUUUUAUAAUUUUUAAAAAUUCGUUUACAGGUGUUGCAUGGCUGUCGUCAGUCCGUGCCGUGAGAAGUGAGGUUAACUCCACUAACGGACGAAAUCCCUGUUGUUAAUUUAUACUUAAUAAUUAAUGAUUUUUAAAUAUUUUCAUUUGGGGCUAAGACAAGCCGUUAUGGCCCUCAUGAACUGGGCUAUAGACGUGCCACAAAAACUUUUACAAAGUGAAGCAAAACUAGACCUAUAAGCUAGUGCUAUUUAGCAAUUUAGUGUUAUUUAUUUAUCUACAGGGUCAGAAGGAAUAGCUAAUCAUUAAAGAAAGUUAAAAUAUUAAAUAGUAGACGGAUUGUCGCCUGCAAUUUGGCGGCAUGAAGAAGGAAUUUCGAGUAAUCGUUGAUCAGUAGCGCAACGGUGAAGAAAGCAUUCGGGAUGAACUAACUGUCUGUCGCUGGGAAGAAGCUUAAUUUGAGGGAAACUGCCGCAAGGUUAUAACUUUAACAAAGAAUACUUAAUUUAAUAAUAUCCAUUAUAUAAUAUAAUAUAAUAUAAUAUAAUAUAAUAUAAUUAUAUAUUAUUAUAAAAUUUAAAUUAAAUAUUUAAUUAUACUUAAUUUAAGAGUAGUUUGUAUGCUAAUUUUAAAAAUACAAUAGUUUUAUAUUGUAAUUAGUCUUUUAUAAUAAAACACCUUUGUUAAGCUAAUUAGUUUCAGUUAACUCAUUUAAGUAACAUCUCAAAAGUCAUAGCAAGGUAGCUGUACUGGAAAGUGCUGCUGGAAAAUAAAUUAU
rnacentral:rRNA from 1 species